ensembl:lncRNA
CCCUAUUUUAUUCUUUGUCUAUGUAGUGCCAAGUGCUCAGACUGGUCAUUUGACUAAACUCACCACAUUGACUAGUUGCUUUGGCAUCAUGUGAUUGUCUAGGCCAAAGCAGACACAGUUGCUUUUAUUGUAAAAAAUGCCACCACUCACAGGGGUGACCAAGCGUACCAGAGGAGUACCAGAGGCAGACCCAAUACAGGAUUACUUCUUGCCGAAAAGAAGCUGCACCUUGGAUAGUAUUGAUCUGUUUGGGAGAAUGUCUGCCCCGAAUCGGCACAGAUCAGUCAUCAAGAUUCUUGUUGGCCUGGCGUAAUUUUCUAGCCAAUUGUAGAAAAUGAGACACAGGUCAAUAUGGUCUCAUCUGGGCCUCCUGUGAGCAUCAGCAAAAGAGUCAUCCAAUUUCUGGGGUAUGAAACGGUAUCACACCUGUUUGGUGACAUCACAGAAAAACAGCUAUUUCUUUUACUGUUUUAUCUCCUAUAAAUGUUACAUUUUGGGUUUGUAGAUGUCUAAAUGUCAAGGGGACAUUUUAAAAUAAAAGUGCCUUCUUUCAUUUGUGUUGUAUGCUUCCAAGUUUGACUUCUUAUUUUUUUCCCUUUCUGCUCUGCCAAAAAAGUAAAUGUAAAUUAUGAGAAAUACAAUAGGACCACUUUGUAACUGACUUUCUGGGCAGUGCACAAAAAGACUGCUGUUCUCCGAUUGUUUUUUGUCAGCUUCAAAAGCUAUCUUCCUUCUGAAGUUUAUAAAUUUAAAAUAUUCGAGUUUAGCAAAUAAUUCAAUCUAGCUCCUAAGAUACCUAUUUUAAAUCCUAUGAAAUGGUUGUUUGAACCAGAACUGACCUGGUUAAAUUUUAGUCCCUAAAAAGGGAAUAUGGAAGGGGUAUGUGAGGUUACAUAGGGAAAAUUUGGAAGUCAUGGAGUAGCUUUUGCUCUUUGCCUUAAAAUUAAACGUCGCACUUUUUUGAAGUUAGGUAUUUUCCCAAAUGAGAUUAAGAUUUCAGAUGCAAAUAAUCAAUCUUGAUUAAACAGGAGAAUUUAAGCACUUGAGAAAUAGACUGAAGUGAUAUUAAAAUCAGAUUUUAUUCUUCUGGGUACAAAACUGGUUACUUAAUGCGUCAUAGUCUUUGGUGUUGUGUAACAUCAUAGGCUAGAUGAGGAUUGGGGGUAGUGGUAAUAGUUCUGUAUUGGCUGAAUUGUUGCAGAACUAAAAAGUUAAGAAAUGUCUAAAGUUCACAACCAGUCCAUCCUAAAGGAAAUAAGUCCUGAAUAUUCAUUGGAAGGACUAAUGUUGAAGCUGAAACUCCUGAUACAAAGAGCUGACCCAUUUGAAAAGACCCUGAUGCUGGGGACGAUUGAAAGCAGGAGGAGAAGGGGACGACAGAGGAUGAGAUGGUUGGAUGGCAUCGCUGACUUGAUGGACAUGAAUUUGAAUGGACUCUGGGAGUUGGUGAUGGACGGGGAGGCCUGGCGUGCUGCAGUCCAAGGAGUAGGACAUGACUGAGAGACUGAACUGAACUGAACUGAAAGUUCACAAGACACUUAGACGUGACUUUAUAUACCCUAUUACAUCCUUUAUAGACUUUUAAUUAAUCAUCUUUCUUUGAAGAAGAAUUCAUUCCAAACCUAUUUUGCACUUUGCCUCUGUAUCUCCUAAGUUUGGAUCUGUCUUUGGGUUUUCUGCUUUGUUCUAUUCCUCUAUUUGUUGAUCCUAUGUUGGUCUCAGAAUCUUGACUACUAUGAGGAAGUCAGGUAAUGUAAUUCCUUCAACUUCUUUCUUUUUCAAGAUUGCAAGUACAUUAUAUACAAUUGAAUAUUGUAGUUGUGUUUUCAUAUAAAUUUUAGAAUACAUUUGUUCAAUUCUAUAUGUACACACAAAAUGUUUGAUGGGAUUAUGAUUGGGAUAGAUCAGUUUAGGGAGAAUUGAAAUAUUAAAGUAACUAUGUGCCACAUAUAGAUAAUUUAAAGAAACACAAAAUAUUUCUGAAAUUGAAGGGGAUUAUAAGGAAUCAAAUAUUAGAAACAAGUAGUAUCAAAAAGAAAGGGCUGUCCAUGAUUGACUGAUCCUUUAACAUAAAAGCAAAAUUGAAAAAAGUCUUCAGGAGAUGGGAAUGGCAACCCACUCCAGUAAUCUUGCCUGGAAAACUCCUUGAACAGAAGAGCCUGGAGGGCUGCAGUCCAUCGGGUUACAUGACAGAGCACACACACGAUGGAGGUGGAGGAAGAUGGGUUGGUAGCAAUAAACAGAGGUAGAACUAAAAGAAAGAAAAGAGUCUUCAAAACCAUGAACAUGGUAUAUCUUUUCCAUUUACUUAAGUUUUAAUUGUUCUCAACUAUGGAUGGCUGGAUGGCAUCACUGACUCAAUGGACGUGAGUCUGAGUGAACUCCAGGAGUUGCUGAUGGACAGGGAGGCCUGACUUGCUGCGAUUCAUGGGGUUGCAAAGAGUCGGACACGAAUGAGCGACUGAACUGAACUGAACUGAACUGAUGGUUUGUAGAUCCAUUUUGUAUUUUAACAGUUAUUGAAAAACCAUGCAGAAAUAGAAUAAUAAAUACAGUUUCCAUCUCUUCACCUCAAAGGAUCUUGAUGAGUUAUAAAGAAUUCCUGGUGCAGGCUUAUACAUGUCUUCAAUACUUUUUAAGGCUGAUUACCUAUGGUCAGUUAAAAAGAAUGUAUUGAACACACUUUCCAGGAGUGGUGUACUAAUUCAUCAAAACCUCUUGCACUCAUUUUUUGGGUGUUCAUUUUAAACCACAGUCACUCCUUUAAAUGAAUAAUUUUUGUCACUGUGAGAUUUAUACCCACUGAAUAUUAAAAAUGAUCUUUUAUUGGUGAGUGUUCUAUUGAAUAUUUCAUACUUUUCAUAUGAAUAGGUUCCUACUCAAAACAAUCCAUCAUUGGGACUUUCCUGGUGGUUCAGUGGUUAAGACUCCAUGGUUCCAAUGCAGGAGGCACAGGUUCAAUUUCUGGUUGGGAAACUGGGAUCCCACAUGCUGUGUAGCCAAAACAAAACAAAACAAAUCAAUCCAUCAUAGUGCUUGAAUUUUGAGUGGUGGAAACAUGCAGUUCCCAUUGUGCCAACAUUUGGGUGACAGUUACUUUCUGCUGUAUUGGAGAGCUACAUC